GAUGAACGCUGGCGGCGUGCUUAACACAUGCAAGUCGAACGGUGAAGGCGGAGCUUGCUCUGCUGGAUCAGUGGCGAACGGGUGAGUAACACGUGAGCAAUCUGCCCCUGACUCUGGGAUAAGCGCUGGAAACGGCGUCUAAUACUGGAUACGAGCUGCGAAGGCAUCUUCAGCAGCUGGAAAGAACUUCGGUCAGGGAUGAGCUCGCGGCCUAUCAGCUGUUGGUGAGGUAACGGCUCACCAAGGCGUCGACGGGUAGCCGGCCUGAGAGGGUGACCGGCCACACUGGGACUGAGACACGGCCCAGACUCCUACGGGAGGCAGCAGUGGGGAAUAUUGCACAAUGGGCGAAAGCCUGAUGCAGCAACGCCGCGUGAGGGACGACGGCCUUCGGGUUGUAAACCUCUUUUAGCAGGGAAGAAGCGAAAGUGACGGUACCUGCAGAAAAAGCGCCGGCUAACUACGUG
rnacentral:rRNA from 1 species